UGCCUUUUAAAUGAAGGCCCGUAUGAAUGGCAUAACGAGGGCUUAACUGUCUCUUUCCCCCUGUCAAUGAAAUUGAUCCCCCCGUGCAGAAGCGAGGAUAAAAACAUAAGACGAGAAGACCCUGUGGAGCUUUAGACCAUAAGCAGGCCAUGUUAAGGACUAUAAACACAGACCUCAAACAAAUUGGAUGCUGCUCUAAUGUCUUUGGUUGGGGCGACCGCGGGGAAAUAAAUAACCCCCAUGUGGAUUAAGAAUAUAUUCUUAAAACCAAGAGCCACCGCUCUAAGAAUCAGAAUAUCUGACCUUGUGAUCCGGACAUCCGAUCAACGAACCUAGUUACCCCAGGGAUAACAGCGCAAUCCCCUUCUAGAGCCCAUAUCGACAAGGGGGUUUACGACCUCGAUGUUGGAUCAGGACAUCCUAAUGGUGCAGCCGCUAUUAAGGGUUUGUUUGUUCAACAAUUAAAGU
rnacentral:rRNA from 1 species